CAGUAUCGGGCGGGAAUGGCGUGUACGGGAAGGAGGUGGCCCGCUGCUCUCCCAGGGGAAAGGUGCGCCUGGCCAGCAGCUCAAGAAGCAGAGCAGCCCAGACCUUAGUGUUUCCCGUGCUCCUGACUGCUUACAAGCUUCGCAGGACUCCUCUGCCUGGCACUGGUCUACAGGAGUGCCCAGCUCUCUCCCCGUGCCCUUGGCUAGCUGCUAGAUAACAUCUUGCUCAACCAAUGCCUGGAACUGGCAGGGAAGCACACCUGCCUGACUGAAGAGCCACCGUCGGGUCUUGCUCAGUGUGAAAGUAAAGGGCUAUUUCAUUUCCCUCAGGUUUCCCACAUGUUGUUUUCAGAUUCGCAAAGAACAGUGUGGUUGUCCCUUGGUUGAAGCUCCAAAGGUCAUUCUAUUUCCUAUUGAACCUGUCUCACUCUCCCCAGUGCCCUCAGAGGUGGAUUCUGGACUGGGGAUGCUGCAGGAGCAUAUCUGAGACUUGUGGCUAACUCACGCUGUCUACAGUAGUGCUGCUUCCAGGGACUGUGAGUUCUCCUUUCCAGCCUCUUUUUUCUGACUCCAUUUCCUGCACAUUUUUCUCCAUAGGAAAUAUGCCUCCUCCCCAUCACCCCAUCAGAAUCCUAGGAGGUUGCACAGUAGUUGGAAGCCAGCAUGGGAGAUGCAGAACCUCUGCACCCAAAUGUAGGGACCAAGCCCACAUGGAAUGCUUGGGGGAAAUUUGCCUGAAAACGUCCUCCACAGUUUCCUUUAGGGGAGAAGAUAAGAAAGAUUUUGUGCAGUUCUCUCACCUGUGCAGCUCAGAAGCAAAGUUUGAGAGGUUUUCACCAGGACCUGGACACCUCCUCUCCCCUCUUCCUCCAUCACUGUCCAGUGACUUCACAUGGUGGAGUAUGGACUGGAGCUGCUGCCUGAUCAUAUCUGAGGCUAUGUUGCUAACUCACACUGUCUACAGCAGUACUGCUUCCAGGGUGAGUAUGGCUGCCCCUUUCCAGCCUGUUUUUCCUGCCUCCAUUUCCUGCACAGUUUUCACCACAGGAAGGUUAUAGGACUUGAUUUAGGUUUAGGUUUAGGGUUAUAGAGUUAGAUUUAUUGGGUUAGGGUGUGUAUUAGGGUUAUGGUUAUAGGGUUAUGAUUAGGAUUAAUGUUACAGUGUUAGCUUUAGGGUUACCAUUAUGGUUAGGCUUAGGGUUACAAGGUUAGGGUUACUGUAUGGGUUAAGGUGCUACCCUUGCCUGUUCUAGAAGUAUAUUUGAAUGACUGACUGGCUGCCAUCCAGUCUUCCCCUCUGUGUAAGCAAUAAAGGCUCUGUCUUUUUUACCCCA